UGGCUCUCGCAUCGAUGAAGAACGCAGCGAAAUGCGAUAAGUAAUGUGAAUUGCAGAAUCCAGUGAAUCAUCGAAUCUUUGAACGCACCUUGCGCUCCUUGGUAUUCCUCGGAGCAUGCCUGUUUGAGUAUCAUGAAAUGCUCGGAGCCCCUGGGUUUUCCACGCCCACGCUUCCGGACUUGGAGGCCUGCGGAACGGUGCGCCCGCCGUCCGCUCCUCUCGAAGGCAUGAGCCGGAUCUCCGUGGCCUCGGGGUCCCUCCGCUCGGCGUGAUAGAUUUUUUCGCUGUUCGCCGACGCGACCCCCGGCGCCGCUCGGAUAAAGAGCCGCUUCGAACGGUCUGUUCGUUCAGACGCUCGCGAGGAACCAAACCCUCCUCGCGGAUCUGAUCUCAAAUCAGGUAGGACUACCCGCUGA
rnacentral:misc_RNA from 1 species